GCUGAAAGUCCGGAUUUAAAGUGCAGAAAAUUAAGCCAUUGAAUCUGCCUGUCCAUGACGUACAAAGACACACUAUGAGCCAGUAUGAUCCGACCAGACCUUACAUCAGCAUUGAGGAGUUGUCGGAGAAGAAAGAGGCUGAUUGAAGCGGGACAGAUGACAUGGAUCCAUCCUUCCACAGCCAGGAGCGCACCGACCUGUGUCCCACACUUCAUAUAAGACUGGAAGCUACACUGAUCUCACAGCUACACACCACAGACGUCUACACACUGGAGAAGAUUCAGACAGAGUCCCACAAAGAAGUCAUGACCCAGAGGCUGCAGAGAAACAUUUCAAGCCUCAUCUGAGUUUUUGUACAAUAUUUUUGCUGUAUGUAAAUAAAGCUUUCACUCCACAUA